GAUGAACGCUGGCGGCGUGCCUAAUACAUGCAAGUCGAGCGAACAGACGAGGAGCUUGCUCCUUUGACGUUAGCGGCGGACGGGUGAGUAACACGUGGGUAACCUACCUAUAAGACUGGGAUAACUUCGGGAAACCGGAGCUAAUACCGGAUAAUAUUUCGAACCGCAUGGUUCGAUAGUGAAAGAUAGCUCUGCUAUCACUUAUAGAUGGACCCGCGCCGUAUUAGCUAGUUGGUAAGGUAACGGCUUACCAAGGCAACGAUACGUAGCCGACCUGAGAGGGUGAUCGGCCCAACUGGAACUGAGACACGGUCCAGACUCCUACGGGAGGCAGCAGUAGGGAAUCUUCCGCAAUGGGCGAAAGCCUGACGGAGCAACGCCGCGUGAGUGAUGAAGGUCUUCGGAUCGUAAAACUCUGUUAUUAGGGAAGAACAAACGUGUAAGUAACUGUGCACGUCUUGACGGUACCUAAUCAGAAAGCCACGGCUAACUACGUGCCAGCCGCCGCGGUAA
rnacentral:rRNA from 1 species